rnacentral:misc_RNA from 1 species
CUUCUCUUUUUUUUUUUUUUUUGGGGGGAUAGUGUAGCACAGCCACAAAAGCGUCUUGUUGGACAAUUGACCGAAUUUUGGCAUAUGAGUGAUUUUAGCAUAAUGUUUUCAAAGUUACGGAAUUUUUUGGUGACAAAAUGAAGAUGAGGGAAGGAACUAAAACACCCUCCAAGUUGAGGGACAACUGGUAAAAAUUAGUCGAUGGCAUUGCUCCUAGCAACCACGAGGUGUAUCCCAGCUGCACUGGGAUUGAACAAAAAUUUCACAUCAAUAAUCAAUUGACAACAGAAAGCAUCCGAAGAUACCAAUGUGAAACCAAGACACAGAAAAAUAGAUGAAGUGUAUGUCUUCCAACCACUUGGUCAACUAACUUAAAGCAAUUUAUACCAUAACUUCACAUAUCAGUAGUUGUCUGAUUGCUUACAAAAAGGGGCAACCAUCCAGCAUUUGGUAAACAGUGUAAUUCAAACUUCUUUAGCAUGCAUAAAAAAUGCACUUUUUUCAAAUGUUUAAAUGCAUGUAUGAGACAAACUUUUUUAAUUUAUAAUUGACUCUCUACGUCUCUCACCACCCAAUGUCUCAGGUUUCACCAAAAGCAAGUAAAACAUAUUAAUUUUUACCAUGUUAGCUUACUUUCAUCCCAAAUAAAAGGGUAACAGUAAUCUAUCAGGAGAAUCUUCCACUCUCAUUUCAAAGAAUGGAAAUCUCAAUAGAUUCUUUAACACAACAAAAUGCAUCCUAAGAGUAGAGUUGAAAAUUCAAAUAUACCAAUUGCAAUUCUCAUCUCUGUUCUACAGAAUGCCAACAAUUCCACAAUACAGAAAUAUGCCAAUACAUAUACACAACACAAAUUGGCAAGCAUUCAUCCACAUCAACAAAAUAGAAAGAGUAAUGCCUCAUCAAACAAACCCUGAAUUACGCAGACAAGAAAGAAUACCUCGACAAAGAAUGGGGCUUUGAU